GGCUAGGGUAAGGUUUAAGUUUUUUGGCGUUAGGGUUAAAAUCACUGUCCAAAACCUUUGUAGGAACUCUUUUCCAACCUUUUGGAGUUGGUUACACCAAAAAAAAUUUAAAAUGAAAAAAAUAUAUAUUUGGGGUGUUCAGGCUUCCUAAAAGUAAUACCCGGGUAUUAGGUUAUGGGGCCAUGGUAAGGUUUAAGGUUUUUGGCGUUAGGGUUAAAAUCACUGUCCAAAACCUUUGUAGGAACUCUUUUCCAACCUUUUGGAGUUAGUUAGACCAAAAAAAAAAGAAAAAUGGACAAAAAAAUAUUUGGGGUGUUUCGGCUUCCUGAAGGUAAUACCCGGGUAUUAGAUUUUGGGGCUAUGGUAAGGUUUAAGGUUUUUUGGCGUUAGGGUUAAAAUCACUGUCCAAAACCUUUGUAGGAACUCUUUUCCAACCUUUUGGAGUUAGUUAGACCAACAAAAAUGUAAGAUGAAGAAAAAAAUAUUUUGGGUGUUCAGGCUUCCUGAAGGUAAUACCCGGGUAUUAGAUUUCAAGGCUAGGGUAAGGUUUAAGUUUUUUGGCGUUAGGGUUAAAAUCACUGUCCAAAACCUUUGUAGGAACUCUUUUCCAACCUUUUGGAGUUAGUUAGACCAAAAAAAAUGAAAAUGAAAAAAAAUAUUUGGGGUGUUCGGGCUUCCUGAAAGUAAUACCCGGGUAUUAGGUUUUGGGACUAGGGAAAGGUUUAAGGUUUUUGGCGUUAGGGUUAAAAUCACUGUCCAAAACCUUUGUAGGAACUCUUUUCCAACCUUUUGGAGUUAGUUAGACCAAAAAAAAAAAAAAAUGAAAAAAUAUAUAUUUGGGGUUUUCGGGCUUCCUGAAUGUAAUACCCGGGUAUUAGAUUUUAAGGCUAGGGUAAGGUUUAAGUUUUUGGCGUUAGGGUUAAAAUCACUGUCCAAAACCUUUGUAGGAACUCUUUUCCAACCUUUUGGAGUUAGUUAGACCAAAAAAAAAUGAAAAAUGAAAAAAAAAUAUUUGGGGUUUUCGGGCUUCCUGAAUGUAAUACCCGGGUAUUAGAUUUUAAGGCUAGGGUAAGGUUUAAGUUUUUUGGCGUUAGGGUUAAAAUCACUGUCCAAAACCUUUGUAGGAACUCUUUUCCAACCUUUUGGAGUUAGUUAGACCAAAAAAAAAUGAAAAAUGAAAAAAAAAUAUUUGGGGUUUUCGGGCUUCCUGAAUGUAACCUGGGUAUUAGAUUUUAAGGCUAGGGUAAGGUUUAAGGUUUUUGGCGUUAGGGUUAAAAUCACUGUCCAAAACCUUUGUAGGAACUCUUUUCCAACCUUUUGGAGUUAGUUAGACCAAAAAAAAUGAAAAAUGAAAAAAAAAUAUUUGGGGUGUUCAGGCUUCCUGAAUGUAAUACCCGGGUAUUAGAUUUUAAUGCCAGGGUAAGGUUUAAGUUUUUUGGC